rnacentral:rRNA from 1 species
CCUACGGGAGGCAGCAGUGAGGAAUAUUGGUCAAUGGACGAGAGUCUGAACCAGCCAAGUAGCGUGAAGGAUGACUGCCCUAUGGGUUGUAAACUUCUUUUAUAUGGGAAUAAAAUGUUCCACGUGUGGGAUUUUGUAUGUACCAUACGCAUAAGGAUCGGCUAACUCCGUGCCAGCAGCCGCGGUAAUACGGAGGAUCCGAGCGUUAUCCGGAUUUAUUGGGUUUAAAGGGAGCGUAGGUGGAUUGUUAAGUCAGUUGUGAAAGUUUGCGGCUCAACCGUAAAAUUGCAGUUGAAACUGGCAGUCUUGAGUACAGUAGAGGUGGGCAGAAUUCGUGGUGUAGCGGUGAAAUGCUUAGAGAUCACGAAGAACUCCGAUUGCGAAGGCAGUUCACUGGACUGCAACUGACACUGAGGCUCGAAAGUGUGGGUAUCAAACAGGAUUAGAUACCCCAGUAGUC